rnacentral:sRNA from 1 species
GUAAUUGAUGGCACAUUAUUCUAGUCAAUUACUUUAUUAGGAAGACGAGCUUAAAAAUUCGUUAAAGGGCACAUCGAUGAAACCUUUGGUGUCUGCUUCUUACGCCCAGUUUGGGGUGGAUGCUGGAGAUGAAGAAUCUUGGGCGACUCGUAAUGGCAUACGAAUCCCGACCCAUUAUUCGUGGAGACCAAUUAUUGUGGUAAAAUCUAUACGGACUUCUACUGAUGAUUUAACUACGAAAUUGGAUAGAACCUGUAUUGUGGCGAAAGCUAUGUGCAGCGUAGCCUGUCUUGAGUGAAAAUAUUGGGAUAAAUGAUCUAUUUUAUUUAUAAGCGGCCACUUAUAAUAAAAAUUGCAUUUUGAAAUUAUUUUUGCAAAAAAGAACUAAUAGUAAAGUGUUGGAGAGGAAAUCUCCUAGAGUGUAUUUUAAUAUAGGAUUGCAGUGGACACUAAGUGGUAAUCAAGUCGUAUGAAGCGGUAACGCCAUAUUGAUUUCUUUAAAGGGGAACCACAUUUCUGGUAACGGAUUUGUAGAAAUCAGGGAAAUCCUACUUGACCUAAG